CUGGUCUGUUCAGCUAGUGUCGUCUCAGGGAAUGUCUGCUGGUCUUAUGGCUGGGAUGAAGGAUGAGAUUAAGAGAGAAUCUCUUGUGUACUGUGUGAAAGCAUCACCCAUCAAGGAAAGCUGAUGGCCUAUUACCAAAAGGCAGGAAAUAGCAGGUGGGCGAUCUGGCAGAGCGAGAGGAACUCUGGGAGAUAAUCAGGAAUGGACGAUUCGCCACCCGGACUCGAAGGAGAUGGAUGUAUAAAACUGAAGAGAGGUAACCAGCCGUGUGGCACACAUAGAAUAGAAUAAACGGGUUAUAUAAAUUCCAAGCUAGCCAGGGAGCAAGCCCAAGCUUAUGGACUCAUUUGCUCAUAAAUGAUUUAGUCUCGGAGUCCUUAUUGGGGAACUGGGACACAGGUAGAAAAGACCGUAAAGACUAUAAAUUUAAUUUCUGUUUGGCGUGUGAUAAAUCCAUUAGAUUGUAACUCUAUUGUAAGUCAAGGAACAUUGGAACUGAAGAACUAAUUGCCAACUUCCAGACUGUAUGAAAAGCAUCAGUGAACACUAAGGAAGCUCAACUGUCUUAACUGAGUUAAACCCAAAGAGAUCUGCACCUGGACGUCCUGGCCAGAGUCUGGAGGCACAGAAAUCCACGGCAGAGCAGAGAUGUAUCAAGUACAAGGGCUCUUCAAUAGGAUUAACGAUUGACCAUGUACUAGAAACUGUAGAAGUCAGAAGGCUGUGGAAUGAUAGAUGCACAGCGUUUAAAAAAAUGUGUUGUUGGGGUUGGAGAGAUGGCUCAGAGGUUAAGAGCACUGACUGCUCUUCCAGAGGUCCUGAGUUCAAUUCCCAGCAACCACACGGUGGCUCACAACCAUCUGUAAUGGGAUCUGAUGCCCUCUUCUAGUGUGUGUGAAGAAAGUGACAGUGUGCUCAUAUAAAUAAAAUAAAUAAAAACAUAUUUAAAAAAUAUGUUGUUAAUCAAGAAUUCUUAGCUGGAGCUGGGCAUGGGGACACACACCUUUAAUUCCAACUGGGGGAAGUCGAGGCAGGCAGAGCUCUGAGCUGGAG